AAGUCGUAACAAGGUUUCCGUAGGUGAACCUGCGGAAGGAUCAUUAUUGAAUAAACUUGACCUGGGUUGUAGCUGGCUCUCCGGAGCAUGUGCACGCUCUUGUCACCUUUAUCUUUCCACCUGUGCACACACUGUAGUCCUGGAUACCUCUCGCCGAAAGGCGGAUGCGAAGGUUGCUGCUGCCUCUUCUGAGGCUCGGCUUCUCUUCGAAUUUCCAGGGUCUAUGAAUCUUCUUACACACCCCAAACGAAUGUUAUAGAAUGUAUUCAUUGGGCCUCUGUGCCUAUAAAAAUCAAUACAACUUUCAACAACGGAUCUCUUGGCUCUC
rnacentral:misc_RNA from 1 species